CCUACGGGUGGCAGCAGUGAGGAAUAUUGGUCAAUGGACGAGAGUCUGAACCAGCCAAGUAGCGUGAAGGAUGACUGCCCUAUGGGUUGUAAACUUCUUUUAUAUGGGAAUAAAGUGUUCCACGUGUGUGCUUUUGUAUGUACCAUAUGAAUAAGGAUCGGCUAACUCCGUGCCAGCAGCCGCGGUAAUACGGAGGAUCCGAGCGUUAUCCGGAUUUAUUGGGUUUAAAGGGAGCGUAGGUGGAUUGUUAAGUCAGUUGUGAAAGUUUGCGGCUCAACCGUAAAAUUGCAGUUGAAACUGGCAGCCUGGAGUACAGUAGAGGUGGGCGGAAUUCGUGGUGUAGCGGUGAAAUGCUUAGAUAUCACGAAGAACUCCGAUUGCGAAGGCAGCCCACUGGACUGCAACUGACACUGAUGCUCGAAAGUGUGGGUAUCAAACAGGAUUAGAUACCCCGGUAGUC
rnacentral:rRNA from 1 species